rnacentral:rRNA from 1 species
CCUACGGGAGGCAGCAGUGAGGAAUAUUGGUCAAUGGGCGUAAGCCUGAACCAGCCAAGUCGCGUGAGGGAUGAAGGUUCUAUGGAUCGUAAACCUCUUUUAUAAGGGAAUAAAGUGUGGGACGUGUCCUGUUUUGUAUGUACCUUAUGAAUAAGGAUCGGCUAACUCCGUGCCAGCAGCCGCGGUAAUACGGAGGAUCCGAGCGUUAUCCGGAUUUAUUGGGUUUAAAGGGUGCGUAGGCGGCCUUUUAAGUCAGCGGUGAAAGUCUGUGGCUCAACCAUAGAAUUGCAGUUGAAACUGGGAGGCUUGAGUAUAGUUGAGGCAGGCGGAAUGCGUGGUGUAGCGGUGAAAUGCUUAGAUAUCACGCAGAACCCCGAUUGCGAAGGCAGCCUGCCAAGCCAUGACUGACGCUGAUGCACGAAAGCGUGGGGAUCAAACAGGAUUAGAUACCCGAGUAGUC